AUAUAUAUAUUUCCCCUUAUUUUCAUAGAGGCCUUCCAGGAGUUGGAUAGAGAAGGCACUGGAACUGCUGAAAUGAAUAUCACAGAGUGGCUGUAUAUGACCAUGUGUGGUUGAAGUGUAUGGUGAUCUUGUAUGCUGUAGAAGAGGACACAUACACACCCAUAGUAGAGGACAACCAUAGACUCAAAGUGCCUCCAAAGCAUCUCAGUGCACCCAACUAAGGCUUGCAUCAUCUCAAACAAUCCCAAAGAAACUUCUACUCCCUYCUUUUUAAUCACCACUA